rnacentral:tRNA from 1 species
GGAGUGUAGCUUAAUAGGUAGAGCGUGUGCUUUGCAAGCAUAAGGUUGCUGGUUCGAUGCCAGUUUCUUC